rnacentral:rRNA from 1 species
GACGGAGGGUGCUAGCGUUGUUCGGAAUCACUGGGCGUAAAGGGCGCGUAGGCGGCUUUGGACGUCGGCUGGUGAAAGCCCGGGGCUCAACCCCGGAGGUGCGGCCGAGACCCCAAAGCUGGAGGCCGGAAGAGGAGGGUGGAAUACCCAGUGUAGAGGUGAAAUUCGUAGAUAUUGGGUGGAACACCGGUGGCGAAAGCGGCUCUCUGGUCCGGACCUGACGCUGAGGCGCGAAAGCGUGGGGAGCAAACAGG